GACGCGGGAGGUCCCCGUCCGGCAGCGCCAUGCGCCCCCGGGCGCGUUUUGC
rnacentral:sRNA from 1 species